UACGAAGGGUGCAAGCGUUACUCGGAAUUACUGGGCGUAAAGCGUGCGUAGACGGUUCCGUAAGUCGGGUGUGAAAGCCCCGGGCUCAACCUGGGAAUUGCAUUCGAGACUGCGAAGCUAGGGUGCGGAAGAGGGAAGCGGAAUUUCUGGUGUAGCGGUGAAAUGCGUAGAUAUCAGAAGGAACAUCAGUGGCGAAAGCGGCUUCCUGGUCCAGCGCCGACGUUCAGGCACGAAAGCGUGGGGAGCAAACAGG
rnacentral:rRNA from 1 species